GUAGCGUGAAGGAUGACUGCCCUAUGGGUUGUAAACUUCUUUUAUACGGGAAUAAAGUGAGGCACGUGUGCCUUUUUGUAUGUACCGUAUGAAUAAGGAUCGGCUAACUCCGUGCCAGCAGCCGCGGUAAUACGGAGGAUCCGAGCGUUAUCCGGAUUUAUUGGGUUUAAAGGGAGCGUAGGCGGACGCUUAAGUCAGUUGUGAAAGUUUGCGGCUCAACCGUAAAAUUGCAGUUGAUACUGGGUGUCUUGAGUACAGUAGAGGCAGGCGGAAUUCGUGGUGUAGCGGUGAAAUGCUUAGAUAUCACGAAGAACUCCGAUUGCGAAGGCAGCUUGCUGGACUGUAACUGACGCUGAUGCUCGAAAGUGUGGGUAACAAACAGGAUUAGAUACCCUGGUAGUCCACACAGUAAACGAUGAAUACUCGCUGUUUGCGAUAUACAGUAAGCGGCCAAGCGAAAGCGUUAAGUAUUCCACCUGGGGAGUACG
rnacentral:rRNA from 1 species